AAAGAGCUUGGGAGUCUUCUAAGAGAGACCCUGCCUGUUACUUCUCCCUGCUGUGACUUCAGUCGGGAAGACUCCCUCCAACUCACCUCCCUCGGUCCCUCUUUUUUGAGUAGGAUUAGAGUUAAGAGGAUAUUCUUCUUCCCUUAUCACCUCAUCCCUUCCCUUCUAAGGCCUGAGAGAAGAAGGCAUGCUGUGGACACUCUCCCUACUUGUAGCUUUCCUGCCUCCUGGCAGUCAAACAUCUUCCAACUCAGAGAAGACUAUGACAGUGGUCACCAAGCCGACUGGGUCAUCUGUUGCAGUCACUUGUAGUAUUCCUCAACAAAGUGGCUACAUCCACUGGUACCGGUUCCAGGAGGGGAAGGCCCCACAGCGCCUUCUCUACUACGUCGUCAGCAGUUCCAGUUCUACAGUGGAUUCGGGAUUUGAUGCAUGGAAAUACCAAGCUUCUAAAAGCACACAGGGCAGCUAUAAUGUCUUUCUACGAAACCUGGGAAGAGACGACUCUGGGGUGUAUUACUGUGCUGUCUGGACUGGCACAGUGAUUCCGACCUGCCCUAUACUACACUGAAAAUUGUGCCUGUGGUUAUUCCUGGUACUCGAGAUAGGCCAGCCCCAUCUCAUUUCCUGUUUCUGACUCUGCGCUGAGCAAAGAUAAACUCGGAGCCCAACACCAAACCCCAGAGCUCACAUCCCACCACCUUC